rnacentral:rRNA from 1 species
ACAAGCGGUGGAGCAUGUGGUUUAAUUCGAAGCAACGCGAAGAACCUUACCAGGUCUUGACAUCCCUGACAACCCGAGAGAUCGGGCGUUCCCCUUCGGGGGACAGGGUGACAGGUGGUGCAUGGUUGUCGUCAGCUCGUGUCGUGAGAUGUUGGGUUAAGUCCCGCAACGAGCGCAACCCUCGACCUUAGUUGCCAGCAUUCAGUUGGGCACUCUAAGGUGACUGCCGGCUAAAAGUCGGAGGAAGUGGGAUGACGUCAAAUCAUCAUGCCCCUUAUGACCUGGGCUACACACGUGCUACAAUGGGCGGUACAAAGGGUCGCGAACCCGCGAGGGGGAGCCAAUCCCAAAAAGCCGCUCUCAGUUCGGAUUGCAGGCUGCAACUCGCCUGCAUGAAGUCGGAGUCGCUAGUAAUCGCAGAUCAGCAACGCUGCGGUGAAUACGUUCCCGGGCCUU